UCUGUGUAGGAAUCGAAUGAAUGGAUGUC
rnacentral:piRNA from 1 species